GACGAACCACACAAACGUUAUUCGGAAUUACUGGGCGUAAAGGGCGCGUAGGCGGCCUGCUAAGUCGGAUGUGAAAUCCCUCGGCUCAACCGAGGAACUGCAUCCGAUACUGGCGGGCUUGAAUCCGGGAGAGGGAUGUGGAAUUCCAGGUGCAGCGGUGAAAUGCGUAGAUAUCUGGAGGAACACCGGUGGCGAAGGCGGCAUCCUGGACCGGUAUUGACGCUGAGGCGCGAAAGCUAGGGGAGCAAACGGG
rnacentral:rRNA from 1 species